GAUGAACGCUGGCGGCGUGCCUAAUACAUGCAAGUCGAGCGAACGGACGAGAAGCUUGCUUUUCUGAUGUUAGCGGCGGACGGGUGAGUAACACGUGGAUAACCUACCUAUAAGACUGGGAUAACUUCGGGAAACCGGAGCUAAUACCGGAUAAUAUUUUGAACCGCAUGGUUCAAAAGUGAAAGACGGUCUUGCUGUCACUUAUAGAUGGAUCCGCGCUGCAUUAGCUAGUUGGUAAGGUAACGGCUUACCAAGGCAACGAUGCAUAGCCGACCUGAGAGGGGGAUCGGCCACACUGGAACUGAGACACGGUCAUGACUCCUACGGGAGGCAGCAGUAGGGAAUCUUCCGCAAUGGGCGAAAGCCUGACGGAGCAACGCCGCGUGAGUGAUGAAGGUCUUCGGAUCGUAAAACUCUGUUAUUAGGGAAGAACAUAUGUGUAAGUAACUGUGCACAUCUUGACGGUACCUAAUCAGAAAGCCACGGCUAACUACGUG
rnacentral:rRNA from 1 species